AGAGUUUAUUCCGGGUUCAAAACCAACGUUGGCGGCGCGCCAAAAACAUGCAAUUCCCAGAAAAAGGGGCUUCGGCCCUGAUUAAAUGGCCCACGGGUGAAUUACCACUGGAUAAUGUUCCCUCGGGCGGGGGAAAACCUUCCGAAAAGAGGGCUAAUACCCUAUUAGACCUUACCGUUUAAUGCAGACGCGGUCAAGACAGGCAUCUGCACGCAGACUUGUUCCUUAGGAUCAUCCCGCCCCCCCUCAACUAUGAUGUGUUUUGGGCCUGAUAGGGACACCGGUGGGUAGGAAACUGACAGGAUGAUCUAACUUGCUGUAACUGACACACGGUCCAUUUUCCUCCGGAAGGGAACUCUGGGGAAUCUUGCUUGAUGGGCGAAACUAUGACUCAUGGACGCCCCGUGGGUGAUGAAUGCCUUCAGGUUGUAAAGCCCUGUGGGGAGGGAGGAAUGAGUCAGAGCCAAUACCUCCCGUUAUGACAGUACCUCCUUAGCAAAGAUCGGCUAACUCUGUUCCAGCAGCCGCGUUGGCACUCAGGUUGCAAACGUUGUAAAUCAAUUGCGGCACCCCAGCGCGUGCAGGCGGCUGUUCCGUCUGAUGUAAAAGCGCCGGGCUCAUCCCGGGAAGUGCACCCGAAACUGCGCGGCAUGAGACCGGGACAGUUGGUGGAAUACUCGGUUCUGGGUGAUAUUCGGAUAUGAUGCCAGGAUAUCGGCGCCGAAGGAUGCAUGCGUGGGGGGCAAACAAGAUUAAUUACCCUGCUUGUUCAUCCUAUAAUCGAUGGGUGAUAGGUGUAUCUGGCUGUACUCCUGUGGUGCCGUUGGCAACUCACUCAGCAAGCCACCUGGGAAGUACGGCCGCAAGCAAGGAACUCAAAGGAAUUGACGGGGGCCCGCACCACAAGUGGAGCAUGUGGUUUAAUUAGACGCAACGCGAAAGAACCUUACCUGGGCUAGAAAACACGCGAACCUGGUAGAAAUAAAAGGGUGUUUCUUGGAAAACGCGUGGUAUAUAGCUGCAUGGCGGUUGUCAGCAGGUGUCGUGAGAUGUUGGGUUAAAAUUCCAAUGAGCGCAACCCCCAUCACUAGUUACCAGCGGUCCGGCCGGGGAAUUUAGUGAAACCCCCCAUAUUCAAAGGGGAGGAAGGUGGGGACGACGUCAAGUCAUCAUGGCCUUUAUGUCCAGGGCUACACACGUGCUACAAUGGUUGGUACAAAGCGCUGCAACCCCGCGAGGGAGAGCCAAUCGCAAAAAAGCAACCUCAGUUCAGAUAAGAGUCUGCAACUCGACUCUUUGAAGUCGGAAUCGCUAGUAAUCGUUGAUCAGCAGGCCGCGGUGAAUACGUUCCCGGGCCUUGUACACACCGCCCGUCACACCAUGGGAGUCGUUUGCUCCAGAAGUGCGUGCGCCAACCGCAAGGAGGCAGCGCCCCAAGGAGUGAAUCGUGAUUGGGGUGAAGUCGUAACAAGGUAACC
rnacentral:rRNA from 1 species